ensembl:lncRNA
GAGAGAAAGUAUGUAGCUUAUUUGAACUGGAGAGAGAGGAAGUAGGUAGUUGAUUUGGACUGGAGAAAGAGGACGUUGUAAGUAGCUGAUUUUGACUGUGGAGAGAGGAAGUAAAUAGCUGAUUUGGACUGGAGAAAGAGGACGUUGUAAGUAGCUGAUUUUGACUGAAGUCGGUUGCUGAUUUGAACUGGAGAGAGAAGAAGUAGGUUAUUGAUUUGGACUGAAAAAAUGGGAAGUAGGUUGCUGAUUUGGACUGGAGAGAGAGGAAGUAGGUACUUUUUUUGGACUUAAGAAAGAGGAGGAUGUAGGUAGCUGAUUUUGACUUGAGAGAUAGGAAUUAGGUAGCUGAUUUGGAAUGGAGAGGGGAAGUUUUUAGCUGAUUUGGACUGGAGAAAGAGGAAGUAGGUAGCUGAUUUGGACAGUAGAGUGAGGAGGUUUUAAGUAGCUGAUUUGGGACUGGAUAGAGGGGAAGUAAGUAGUUGAUUUGGACUGGAUAUUGAGAUAGUACCUAACUAAUUUGGACUUGAGAAAGAACAGGUUGUAGGUAGCUGAUUUUGACUGUGGAGAGAGGAUGUAGGUUGCUGAUUUGAACUGGCGAGAGAGGAGGUUGUAAGUAGCUGAUUUUGACUGUGGAGAGAGGAUGUAGGUUGCUGAUUUGAACUGGCGAGAGAGGAGGUUGUAAGUAGCUGAUUCGGACCGGAGAGAGAAGAUGUAGGUAGCUGAUUUAGACUGGAGAGGGAGGAAGUAGUUAGCUGAUAUGGACUGGAGAGAAAGGAGGUUGUAUGUGCUCU